rnacentral:rRNA from 1 species
AAAGGGAUUGUAGUGUCUGGCCUGCCCACUGAAAAAUAUUUAAUGGCCGCGGUAUUUUGACCGUGCGAAGGUAGCAUAAUCAUUAGUCUUUUAAUUGAAGGCUGGAAUGAAUGGUCGGACAAGAAGUAAAUUGUCUUUUUUAUGAUUUUAAAAUUUUACUUUUAAGUGAAAAGGCUUAAAUGCUUUAAGGGGACGAUAAGACCCUAUAAAACUUUAUAAAAUAUUUAUACUAUUUUGAUUGAGAUGUUUAAAAGUUAUUUAUAUAAAUUUAUUUUGUUGGGGUGACAGAGAUAUAAAUUAGCUUAGCUAACUGUCUAAAAAUUUAAAUAAUUAUAAUUAGAUUUUGAUCCAUUAUUAGUGAUUAAAAGACUAAGUUACUUUAGGGAUAACAGCGUAAUUUUUUUUGAGAGUUCUUAUCGACAGAAUUAGUUGCGACCUCGAUGUUGAAUUAAAGUUUCCUUUUUGUGCAAAAGUAAGGAAGGUAGGUCUGUUCGACCUUUAAAGCUUACAUAUUUGAGUUUAAAAAC